ensembl:processed_transcript Gm12367 predicted gene 12367
GAAUCUGCAGGGCUCCCCGGUGCGGAUCUCUGCAGUCUUGUUUCCUUCUUUUGUCCUUGGUCACCGUUGUGGAGUUAAGUUGCGAGCUGAGGCAACCAAAACGCACCUCCCUCGCACACCCUCCCUGGACUGUCUAGACACCACUUUCCACCUAGAAGGAAAGGGCAAUUGGGAUGGCUGUCACUACAAACGCCAUCUUUCACGUGGGCGGAACUCGUCUCUGCUUGACGCGCCGCGGUUCCCUCGUGGGACUCCAUAGGAGAGAGAAAAGCCAGAGGAAGAUUCCAGAGAGAAAGAAGAAGACUGGAUAUGGCCAGCAGACUGGACACGGACUUGGCUACAGAAGUGGGGGAGUGAGAGAAAAUAGUGGAGAUAGUGAGGUAUCAAGAGAGAGAAUACAGCAUAGAAAGAGAUAAGAAUAAGAAAGAGCAAGGGUGGGAAUAGUGGAGAAUAGCCAGUUAAAGGGAAGGCGAGUAGCUGCAGGGAGGGACGGGCCAGGAGACCUGGCUUGGAGGCUUUGAAAUGUAUAACAAGCAUUUGGGGGAUGAGGGAGUCUGAAGUCUUAUGGGCUUUGAUAUGCAGCCACUGUCAAUGGCCCAUGUCAUAUGUUGUAUGUCCCUUCUGCCAGAGGUAAGGGGAAUGACUCCUUUUUGCAGAUGGGAACUGGCUUUACAAGUUCCUGAGGACCGAUGACUUUUUAUUAGGUAUUUUCCUUGUUUACAUUUUCAAUGCUAUCCCAAAAGUCCGCCAUACCCACCCCCCCCAAUCCACUACCCACCCACUCCCCCGUUUUGGCCCUGGGGUUCCCCUGUACUGGGGCAUAUACAGUGACUUUUAUAUAACAGUCAGAACUCUUACAGUUCAGCUUGAACCCAUUUCUGGAUAUGUGAGCAGCCUGAGACCUAACAGAAAGCUUUAUAGAAAAUAUACAUUGUGAGGUUCCAACUGAAAACCUACAGCAUCACCAUCUCUGGUGGUACCGCCCGUGAAUAUGCAUUUUCAAAAUGUUUUGAGCUGUGAUGGUUUGGAUGCUUGGUCAUAUGGGCACUAUUAGGAGGUGUUGACUUACUGGAGGAGGUGUGGCCUUGUUGGAGGAAGUGUGUCACUAUGUAGGUAGUCUUUAAGGCCUUCUGUGCUUAGGUUCCACCCAACAUGGAAGAGAGUCUCCUCCUAGCUGUCUGCAGAAGAUAGUUUCCUGCUGCUGCCUUUGGAUCAAGAUCAAGACAGUGCUCUUCCAGCACCAUGUCUGCCUGGAUGCUGCCAUGUUUCCCGCUAUGAUGAUAAGGGACUGAACCUCUGAAACUGUUAGCCAGCCCCAAUUAAAUGUUGCCCCUUUUAAAGAGUUGCCUUGGAUAUAGUGCCUCUUCAUGGUGAUAAAACCCUAAAACAGGAGCCAAUCACUUGGCUGCGGAAGCACUAUCUUAGCUCUUGGUCAUCCUUUGAAAUGAGGUAAAGAGAAAUCAAUACACAUAGAAUAUAAAAAAACCGUAUUAAAGAAACAUGUAGAAAGUACCCCACUUGUCCAGAAAACAGAUACAAAGAAGUUAUACUAGUUGAUGUAAUUUGUGUUGGUUACCAUAAUCACAACACUCAUGUCUUGGGCACUGAAUGUAGUAGAACUCAGACUGUUCUCAUGAAGUGGUUUCCUCACAACUGAACCAUGAACUGAGACUCUGAACUUCACAUUUGAUGCUCCUUACCACACAGCCUCCCCACUGGCUAUAUGGGUCAAGAAAGAGAGGGUCAUAUUUAAAGAAUUUGUAAAGAACAAGUAGUAUGCAUUCCCUAUGGUCAUACUGCUUGCAUAAAAGUUGUCACAGCACCUCAGCAAGAUGAAGGAAGGCAAGGAAAUGAGAUCCUGAGUAUUUAGGAAGGAUAGAAAAUGACGUGGAAAACAGUGCCUUUGCCACUGGUAUGAGAAGUGGAGUCUCCAUUGAUUAAGCAACCUGAUCUUUUGCCAAGUGAGUGGGAAAGCAGACCACCAAGGAGAUGUGGUCAGCAAGUGCGAGAUUCUACAAAGGCCAUCCUGCUCCAAACGCUCCAGCCAAAGAAUGCAUGGUAACAGAGGCACUGUGACCUCACAUUAUAAAUAAAAGACUCAAAUC